rnacentral:rRNA from 1 species
UCAGGCCUAACACAUGCAAGUCGUACGGGAAUUUUUAAUUCAAGUGGCAGACGGGUGAGUAACACGUAAGAAUUUGCCUUUAGGAGGGGGACAACAACUGGAAACGGUUGCUAAUACCCCAUAUGCUUUCGAGUGAAAUGGAUUUUUCCGCCUAAAGAGAAGCUUGCGGCUGAUUAGCUUGUUGGUGAGGUAAUGGCUCACCAAGGCGACGAUCAGUAUCUGGUUUGAGAGGAUGAUCAGACACACUGGAACUGAGACACGGUCCAGACUCCUACGGGAGGCAGCAGUGGGGAAUUUUCCGCAAUGGGCGAAAGCCUGACGGAGCAAUCUCGCGUGAGGGAUGAAAGCCUAUGGGUCGUAAACCUCUUUUUCAGGGAGGAACAAAAUGAC